rnacentral:rRNA from 1 species
GAAUUUUGACCUCGGAUCAGGUAGGAAUACCCGCUGAACUUAAGCAUAUC